UAUUGGGCGUAAGCGCGCGCAGGCGGUUUCUUAAGUCUGAUGUGAAAGCCCCCGGCUCAACCGGGGAGGGUCAUUGGAAACUGGGGAACUUGAGUGCAGAAGAGGAGAGUGGAAUUCCACGUGUAGCGGUGAAAUGCGUAGAGAUGUGGAGGAACACCAGUGGCGAAGGCGACUCUCUGGUCUGUAACUGACGCUGAGGCGCGAAAGCGUGGGGAGCGAACAGGAUUAGAUACCC
rnacentral:rRNA from 1 species